rnacentral:misc_RNA from 1 species
CGCCUAUCAAUCAGUUUGACGCCGAGACACCGUUGCCCUUCUUGGUCCAUAAUCGGCAAGUAUGGAAUACGUGAGCCCUGAAGGACUCCGACUAGAUGGUCGACGCUCCAUGGAAAUGAGGCAACUUCGAGCACAGAUCGGUGCCGUUGCCAAAGCAGAUGGUUCUGCAGUUUUUGAGAUGGGUAACACUAAAGUAAUUGCUGCAGUUUAUGGGCCAAGAGAGGUCCAAAAUAGGAAUCAACAGAUUAGUGACCAGGCAUUGGUGCGCUGUGAGUACAGCAC